ACCGCGCCGAACACGCUUUGGGCGGCCAUUUUGUAACUCGAAUCUACCCUCAAAAUCAAUUCGAAAAAAAGGGAGGCAAGAAACGCCCCUACAGUGUUCUGAACUGGGUUGAACACACAAAGGAUGCUAAAAUUUUCCACUUGUAUACAGGUCCCUCCAAGACUUCGCUUCUCACCAUGAUUCUGACAUUGAUAUGAAAACACUCAAGAUUUCACUUCUCACCAUGAUUCUGACACUGAUAUGAUCACUGAAUGACCGUUUUCAGCAAUUCGGGCCUAUAAAAGUGUGAAAUAGAUUUUUUUUGAAAGUCCUAUUGUAUAUUCAAAAUUCUGUAACACUAGUGGUUUUCUUCACCUUGUAGCUUAUUAUGAUAAGCA
rnacentral:lncRNA from 1 species